CUAGAGAUAGAAAGUUACUUCGGUACAUCGGUGACAGGUGGUGCAUGGUUGUCGUCAGCUCGUGUCGUGAGAUGUUGGGUUAAGUCCCGCAACGAGCGCAACCCUUAUCUUAGUUGCCAUCAUUAGGUUGGGCACUCUAGAGAGACUGCCGGUGACAAACCGGAGGAAGGUGGGAUGACGUCAAAUCAUCAUGCCCUUAUGAUUUGGGCUACACACGUGCUACAAUGGAUGGUACAAAGGGCAGCAAAACCGCGAGGUCAAGCAAAUCCCAUAAAACCAUUCUCAGUUCGGAUUGUAGUCUGCAACUCGACUACAUGAAGCUGGAAUCGCUAGUAAUCGUAGAUCAGCAUGCCUACGGUCGAAUACGUUCCCGGGUCCUU
rnacentral:rRNA from 1 species